rnacentral:rRNA from 1 species
GAUGAACGCUGGCGGCGUGCCUAAUACAUGCAAGUCGAGCGAACAGACGAGGAGCUUGCUCCUCUGACGUUAGCGCCGGACGGGUGAGUAACACGUGGAUAACCUACCUAUAAGACUGGGAUAACUUCGGGAAACCGGCGCUAAUACCGGAUAAUAUAUUGAACCGCAUGGUUCAAUAGUGAAAGACGGUUUUGCUGUCACUUAUAGUUGGAUCCGCGCCGCAUUAGCUAGUUCGUAAGGUAACGGCUUACCAAGGCGACGAGGCUUAGCCGACCUGAGAGGGUGAUCGGCCACACUGGAACUGAGAAACGGUCCAGACUCCGACGGGAGGCAGCAGUAGGGAAUCUUCCGCAAUGGGCGAAAGCCUGACGGAGCAACGCCGCGUGAGUGAUGAAGGUCUUCGGAUCGUAAAACUCUGUUAUUAGGGAAGAACAAAUGUGUAAGUAACUAUGCACGUCUUGACGGUACCUAAUCAGAAAGCCACGGCUAACUACGUG